rnacentral:rRNA from 1 species
ACGGAGGAUCCGAGCGUUAUCCGGAUUUAUUGGGUUUAAAGGGAGCGUAGGUGGACAGUUAAGUCAGUUGUGAAAGUUUGCGGCUCAACCGUAAAAUUGCAGUUGAUACUGUCUGUCUUGAGUACAGUAGAGGUGGGCGGAAUUCGUGGUGUAGCGGUGAAAUGCUUAGAUAUCACGAAGAACUCCGAUUGCGAAGGCAGCUCACUGGACUGCAACUGACACUGAUGCUCGAAAGUGUGGGUAUCAAACAG